GAAUAUUGGACAAUGGGGGCAACCCUGAUCCAGCAAUGCCGCGUGUGUGAAGAAGGCCUGCGGGUUGUAAAGCACUUUUGGCAGGGAUGAAAAGCACUGGAUUAAUAACCCAGUGUGUUGACCUAACCUGCAGAAGAAGCACCGGCUAACUCUGUGCCAGCAGCCGCGGUAAUACAGAGGGUGCAAGCGUUAAUCGGAAUUACUGGGCGUAAAGCGCGCGUAGGCCGUUGAGUAAGUCGGAUGUGAAAUCCCCGGGCUUAACCUGGGAAUUGCAUUCGAUACUGCUUGGCUAGAGUGUGGAAGAGGGAAGCGGAAUUUCCGGUGUAGCGGUGAAAUGCGUAGAUAUCGGAAGGAACACCAGUGGCGAAGGCGGCUUCCUGGUCCAACACUGACGCUGAGGCGCGAAAGCGUGGGGAGCGAACAGG
rnacentral:rRNA from 1 species